rnacentral:tRNA from 1 species
UCCAGAAUGGCUCAGAUGGUAAAGUGUCCGCCUGCAAUGCGGGAGACCCGGGUUCGAUUCCUGGGUCGGGAA